AUAAUGGAUAAUGGAGUAAACUCUGAUGCAGCGACGCCGCGUGAGCUACGAUUUCAUUCGAAUCGUAAAGCUAUGUCCUAUGGGACGAUAAUGACGGUACCCUAGGAGGAAGCACCGGCUAACCACGUGCCAGUAGCCGCGGUAAUACGUAGGGGGCGAGCGUUGUACGGAAUUUUUGGGCGUAAAGGGUUCGAAGGCGGCCUUUUAAGUCAGAUAUUAAAGCCCACGGCUUAACCGUAGUAAGCAUUUGAAACUGGAAGGCUUGAGUUAAGGAGAGGAAAGUGAAAUUCCUAGUUUAGCGGUGAAAUGCAUAGAUAUUAGGAGGAAUACCAGUGGCAAAGGCGACUUUCUGGACUUAUACUGACGCUGAGGAACGAAAGCGUGGGGAGCAAACA
rnacentral:rRNA from 1 species